UUUAUUAUUAUACAGCAACCCUAAAUAUCUAGUAAGACCAAGUCUUACCCCACUGAAUCUCUUCUCCCUCCGCUGCCUCAAAAACAACCUAACAAGUAAGAACAACUGCUGGGACUGACCCCUGACAAUGAAUAUAUACAUUUGAAAACAGUGGGAUUUUGUUGUUACUGUUUUUGUUUUUCAUAUGAUUGUUUUAUAAUGUGUGUAGUUCAACAGUUGUGUUUGACUUUAUAGGAAAAUCCUGUUAGCUACACAGUCAAUCUAGUAACUGAAUCAGUACAUCCUAUGUUCUGUAGUGUCCCGAGGGAGUUCCUGGAGAGCAUGAAUGGUAGAAAAGGUGGCAAAAGCAAGAACAAUGUAGAUGAGUUUAUAGCCAAUUGUGGACAGGGUAGAUGAACCCAGAGCAAGAUGUGAACAGGGAACAUAAAAGCAGACCACGAUGUGAACAGGACGGAUGAAGUCAGAGCAAGAUGUGAACAGGGCAGGUGAGGCAGAGCAGAAGGGGAACAGGAUAGAUGAAUACCACAGGACAAUGGGAAUAGGGUAGAUGACCCCAGACACAGAUGUGACAGGUUAAAUGAGUCCAGAGAAAAACGUAAACAUGGUAAAUGAAUCUACAGCGAGAUGUCAACAGGGUAAAUGAACCAAGAGCAGGAUGUGAAGAAGACAGAUGAACGCAAAGCAAGCUCUGUACUCUGGAGAAGAAGCCACAAUGAGAUAUUAAUAGGGUUGAUAGAGUCUAAAAUAAAAUGUCAGCAGUGUAUAUGAACCAAGAGCAAGGUGUGAAGAAGGUAGAUAAAAUCACAGCAAAGUGUGUACUUCAUAGAUGAACCCACAUCAAAAUUUGUAUAGGGUAUUCUACAGCAAGAUGUGAGCAGGGUAGAUGAAUGUGCCAGCAAUAUGGGAAGGUAAUACAUAGUAAAACAGACCAAAAAGUUGUUUUUUGGAACUUUGGUUUACUUGUCUAAAAAUGAAAAGGAAAAUAUUCUAGUUAACACUGGGUCGUCCCACUUAAAGUAUUCUGAUAGUAAAAAUUAUUAUUGGAUGGCUUAUGUUUUAAGUGAUUGCAAUUAGAUUCUAUUUUACAAUCAAGAUGAACUGUCAUAGGCAUCAAAAAUCUGUGCUAUUUGUUUACACUGAAUAGUGUAGAUACAACAAAUUAACGAGUGUUUGUUCACUUCUGUUGAGGUGAUAGGAUGUGGAGGAAUGGAGCCAAUAAAUGAAGUGGACUACAGUCUCGGGAAACAACCAACUUUAUUUAGAGUAUCAGACAAUGUAUACUCUGAAGUCUUCUACUAAGAUGGUCCAGUAAGCUUUGCUUAUAGUGCGCAACCAUUUUCCCAGUCCAAAGUCCCCCAAACAUCUGUAUUUCUUCAAAAAUCCACGAUGGUCAGUCCUAACCUGCUCUCUGAUGCCAACUUGGAUCGUAAUUUUCUAUUAGUGAAAUAAAGCAUCACGAAUAAAGUGAGUAGUAGAAUAAUAAAGCUUAUUUGGGGCUCAU